rnacentral:rRNA from 1 species
UACGUAGGUGGCAAGCGUUGUCCGGAAUUAUUGGGCGUAAAGAGCUCGUAGGCGGUUUGUCGCGUCUGCUGUGAAAACUCAGGGCUUAACCCUGAGCCUGCAGUGGGUACGGGCAGACUAGAGUGUGGUAGGGGAGAUCGGAAUUCCCGGUGUAGUGGUGAAAUGCGUAGAUAUCUGGAGGAACACCGGUGGCGAAGGCGGCAUCCUGGACCAAUACUGACACUGAGGAGCGAAAGCCAGGGGAGCAAACGGG